rnacentral:rRNA from 1 species
UGCUAAGGUAGCAUAAUCACUAGUCUUUUAAUUGAAGGCUUGUAUGAAUGGUUGGAUGAGGAAAAUUCUGUCUUUUUUAUGUUGUGAAUUUAACUUUUAAGUGAAAAGGCUUAGAUUUUUUAGAGGGACGAUAAGACCCUAUAAAACUUUAUAUAAUUUAACUAUAAUAUUAGUAUUAAGUUUAAAUUUAUUUUAUUUAAAUUAUAUUUUGUUGGGGAGACGUUUAUAUAAUUUGUAACUGUUUAAAAAAUUAAAUAAUUAUAAUUAGUUUUUGAUCCUUUAUUAAAGAUUUAAAGAUUAAGUUACUUUAGGGAUAACAGCGUUAUUUUCUCUGAGAGUUCUUAUCGACGAGAGUAGUUGCGACCUCGAUGUUGAAUUAAAAUUUCAGAUUGG